UGGGGAAUUUUGGACAAUGGGCGAAAGCCUGAUCCAGCAAUGCCGCGUGUGUGAAGAAGGCCUUCGGGUUGUAAAGCACUUUUGUCCGGAAAGAAAUCCUUUGCUCUAAUACAGUCGGGGGAUGACGGUACCGGAAGAAUAAGCACCGGCUAACUACGUGCCAGCAGCCGCGGUAAUACGUAGGGUGCAAGCGUUAAUCGGAAUUACUGGGCGUAAAGCGUGCGCAGGCGGUUUGCUAAGACCGAUGUGAAAUCCCCGGGCUCAACCUGGGAACUGCAUUGGUGACUGGCAGGCUAGAGUAUGGCAGAGGGGGGUAGAAUUCCACGUGUAGCAGUGAAAUGCGUAGAGAUGUGGAGGAAUACCGAUGGCGAAGGCAGCCCCCUGGGCCAAUACUGACGCUCAUGCACGAAAGCGUGGGGAGCAAACAGGAUUAGAUACCCUGGUAGUCCACGCCCUAAACGAUGUCAACUAGUUGUUGGGGAUUCAUUUCCUUAGUAACGUAGCUAACGCGUGAAGUUGACCGCCUGGGGAGUACGGUCGCAAGAUUAAAACUCAAAGGAAUUGACGGGGUCAUAGCUGUUUCCU
rnacentral:rRNA from 1 species